ensembl:snoRNA SNORD89 small nucleolar RNA, C/D box 89
GCUGAGGAAUGAUGACACAAAAGGCCGAAUUGCAGUGUCCCCGUGUACAGUUUGCUCUCUGUGCGGGUGCACAGUGACAAAACCUCCUGAAGCGAAACACAGGCCUGACCUCAGC